UCAGCAGUGAUGAGCCUCUAACAUGUAAGAAGAAACCAUAAUGUGGUUUCUUCAAUGAAAUGCACUUGUUACGCUUGGCUUCUGAGCUCC